UCUCGAGAUACCGGCUGCUCAUGGGGCAGUGAAGCAGAAGACACCAGACAGCGGCGAAGGGCGGACACAGGAAGCAGGUAGAGCGGGAGGAGGUUAGAAAUAUCGCUUGCCGGCGUUGUAUUUCCUCACUGUAGUGCUGUAAGCCUGCCACUAAGCUGCCAUAGUCUAGUCUGGAGGAAAGUAGCAAGGGAUACACACAACACUGUGUGUGUGGUGCAGCAACACAAUACAUGGUAUCAACAACAUAUUGCACACAUCAAAAUGGGGAGUGGAUGAUAUGUCAAGAGUUUGCUGGUGAUGACAGACUGCUGGUCAAGUGCUUCCUUCAUGAUCUUCAGGACAAGGUCAACAUUGUCUUGGGUGCAGUUGUAGCCCAUGAGUCCCACGCGCCACACCAGGCCGGCACUGGGCCCCAGUCCUCCACUUAUCUCCACUCGGUACCUGGCAAGUUUUGAAACUCGAUGUUUAAAGCAGAAAUGUAGCAGUUCUACUAAUGGACAUAUUAACAAAGGACUCUGAUGGUGGUGACUGUGGGUGUUCGGUUAGCAGGGUCACAGAUGAACAGCUGCAGGUUGAGGUCAGCCAGACCAUCAUACAGCCUCUGAGCACAGGCAGCAUGGCGUGCCCACAAGGACUCCAGACCCUCAGCACACACCAGGAACAAGGCCUCGCGCAGAGCAUAAACUGAGCUCACUGGACCCGUGUGGUGAUACCUAUUGAAGAAAUUAAGAUUUAUUAUAUCCAUUAAGCACAAGUUCAGAACCUAAGUUUUUCUUAUGAAUCAAUACAAUAGAAUGUCACUAUUAAUUGUACACAAUCCAUUUCACGAGGGAGAUGUUGAUGUAUGGAUUUUGUAAUAAUUCUUUAGGCACAACAAAUCAGGGGCAUGUGCAGCCUUUCUUUCAACUAGUCAUACUCAAACAGAAAACCAUCAAUUCAAAAUACUCCUUAAUGAACACAUGUGCUACUACUAUGCACAUAAAUACAGGCUCUGCUUUGAAACACAAGUGCAAUCUCCUUUUAGAAUCUAAUGUAUUUUUGUUUUAUUUAUGUACCUGUUUUGCUGAAUUAUGGUUAAUACCAUAAAAGUGAGUGAGUGUU